rnacentral:tRNA from 1 species
ACAUUGGUGGUUCAUUGGUAGAAUUCUUGCCUUGCAUGUGGGAAACCUAGGUCUGAUCCCCAGCCAAUGCA